GGAUCGGAGUCUGNAACCCGACUCCGUGAAGCUGGAUUCGCUAGUAAUCGCGCAUCAGCCAUGGCGCGGUGAAUACGUUCCCGGGCCUUGUACACACCGCCCGUCAAGCCAUGGGAGCCGGGGGUGCUUGAAGUGCGUCGCCGCGAGGCGCGCCCUAGAGCAAAACCGGUGACUGGGGCUAAGUCGUAACAAGGUAGC
rnacentral:rRNA from 1 species